rfam:Helianthus annuus linkage group 2, whole genome shotgun sequence.
GGUUGCGAUCAUACCAGCACUAAUGCACCGGAUCCCAUCAGAACUCCGCAGUUAAGCGUGCUUGGGCGAGAGUAGUACUAGAAUGGGUGUCACACCCCGAUUUCCACGUGUAUCACCGGCG